UUCAGGUGUCCACAUUUUGCUAAGGCCCAAAUGCUGAUAUUCAACACACUCCUGAAGCACUGAAAACCCUGAAACCCAUCUAACCCACUGUCCUGAAUACAGUAAGGACUAACAUCUACCAUUAUACCUAAAAUCGGACAGAACUCUACAGGGUUGAAGCUCAACCAUUUCAACUGCUAUUAACAACUGGAACCUGAAGGUACCAGAAUGCAGAGGUCAUAAAAUAGAUUUCUGUGCUAUGUUAUCCAGAGGAACCACUGCAGCAGCUCUAGUACAGAUGUGUCACCAAAUAGGUCGGAGUUCCUAUGUUUUUUAGAGAUGUUUGCUUUUCAAGUCAUGAAAUUUCCAAUCAGCUCAGUGUGCCCUCUCAACAGAGGUCUCCGAGUGUUAACAUGACCAGAAGUAACUCAUUUUUCUUGUCCUUUUUUUGUGUGUGUUUAGAACUUGUGUUUCAUGUUAAAAUGAACUGCAGAGAGAGAUGGUGAUGAAACACGGUACUUUUGAAGAUGAACAUCAAAUGCAUAUCCCUCCAAUUAUUUGACAUUUAACUUUCUGCACAUAUGAUAAAUAAACAUCUGGUAUUUAUUUUA